CCGGCUCACCUCCUAGACGUCAGGACUUUUAGUAUGUUUUGUCCCUAAUCACCCUGCAUAAGUUCCAGUAGAAAUAGCUUAGGUUCCCGCUCACGCACUCUAUACCCUCUUUUGAGUCAUUCGUUAAGCGGACUACAAUCAUUACUCACUUAC